CUUCAAAUCCGAAUUUACCCAUGAUGGUUAUGUUAUGGUUGCAUUCUAUACCAAUUUUAUUGUGCAUCGCGGCGGUAAUGGUCACUGUUCAGGCAUUUUGGUCUGCAUUUGACUUGGUAACUGUUGAAAAUUCAAAAACUGGUACGGUUAUCACAGAUCUGAAGGUAAUACGUUACAAUAAAACUGCAUAUGCAAUUAGUGGAACUAUCGACUUAACAGCAGAUCUAAGCGAGAUAUUCGAUUGUGAAGUGAAAGCCUAUAUUAGUCCCCAGGGUAACAGUAAGUACACACUGUUACCGUACAAAAUUCCUCGAGAUGCUUGUUGUACACUUUUGGAAUCUGCUUAUUGGAAAUCCUUAGAAAAGAGCCUGCAAGACUGUUCAGAUAUACCGGCACGUAAUGGAAAUGAAAAGUUUUGUUUAGCUUUGAAAAAAAGCAAAUACACAAUACGGCAACUUGGCUUCAACUAUAAUGUGAUCCCAAAAUUUUUUUCUACCGGUACAUAUAAAUUUGUAAUGUUAGUGUAUGAGAAAGGAUCCUCGGACUACACUUCUUUUGCCGCUUUUAUUGCCAGAUUAUACUGAAUUUGGUUUCGUCGUGUAGCAGAAAUGUAAAAUGUUGAAGAUAACGUGUUUUUUUUAUGAACAAUUGAUAUCUUUAAAUUUAUGGUUAGGAGUUACCCGAUUCAUCCACCACCCAUUUUUUUUUUUAUACAAAAGAUUUCACAUCUCAAAUAAUAUAGUGACUCUAAAAAAGAUAAAAAUUCACAAGAAAUCUCCAUUCAAGUUACCAAAUAAAUACAACUGUUGUUUGUUCAACUUCCAAUUUUCGAUAAAAACAGAUAAUUAGAAUGAAUUAUUAAAAUUAGUGCGAGGGGGAAACAACAAUGAGAAAUCUUGUCUUAACGUUUGACCAUUCGCCCAUUAUUCAUCCAUUAUUUACUUGCAUUUCCCUUUAUUCGCCCGAGCCCUGUCCCAUGAUUUUCUAAUGUUGUUUCCCCUCGAACCGUGCUCAAUAUUUCCCUUUAUUCGCCCGAACCCCGUCCCACGAUUUGCUAAUGUUGUUUCCCCUCGAACCGUGCUCAAUAUUGUGUCGUGGUCAGAGUAAAUUAAGUAAUAAAAGCUAUAAAA